CAGACUGCCGUGCCCGUAGUUGCCACCUGAGAGUUGUUCCUGAUGAGAGCCCAGCCAAAGGCGGCAAAGGUGCUGACGGUGAUCACACGUGUUUUGAAUGUGACUCAGCUGUCUGAAAAGGGCACCACUUCCCAUGUGGAGGCAGCAGGGGAGCGCACUUCUGAGGAACCUUAAUGAAGGGAUUUGAGUGCAUUCUCCGCAGCAGUUGAACCCAAAAAUAUAUUCAUUUGGACAGCAGUGGCAACAGCAACUUGCAACACCAAGAAGCAGUGACUGUAAGGGACUCAGCUGUAGCAGUGACGGAUCUGACUGAUGGGAUUCCUUCAGAACCAGAACCUGACUCUGGGCUUCUCUCAGCCACACGUCUCCCACUGGGAGUCAACACCACAACUAUCAUCAGCUGUUACCAACACCAUCAUCGUGCUGGGUGUGUUGACCUUUGCCCUCCAGCUGUGUUUAGUUCUGUUCUUCAUGCUGAGAUGUUGGAGGUUGGACAGCAAAGUACAAAAAGCUCUCAAACACCCAGACACUGUGCAAAAAGUCUUUGUCCCCUCAUCCUUCCAACUAGAUGUUCACAGACUGGCUAGCUAUCAGCUUUGUGAUGAUUCUGCUGCUUCAUCACCUGCAGAGUUGGUAGCAGUUGAAGAACAUGAACCCACCACAAGCUCUCUGUUUGUGCCUUCAAUACCCUGGGACCUUGUUCAGCGCUGACAGGCUCCUGAUCCUACUGCCAUUUACACAAUGUAAAUGAAAAUGUGAAUAUUGAAGUUUCACUUUAUGACAAAUAUACUGUAUGAAAUACUCUAUAUCACUUUGAGACAAUAUGCAAUCUAUGUGAAGUAAUAACAUCUGUCAGUUUUUAAAUGUAGCAAUAAUACUUUUACU